CAGGCUCCUCGACGUGUGAUCCACUCAGGCCACUCGGGACUGUCACCACCUACCUACUUCACUUUCUCGUGUUUCUAGAAGAGCUCAAGUCCUACGUGACAGAGCCCUGUAUUGGUCCCGAUUCCCAGCAAGUCUGGCAGCUCGACUCUCCUCAAUAUUCUGCAUUGUGUCUGCCGUGGUAAAUCCACUCCUAGAUCUCGGGCGCUCUCCAAUGCAUUCCUUGGCAUCUUGAAGAGUCUCACGUUUGAAGACUGGAGAAUAAUUAUAAUAAAACAAAUUACUUCGACCCAGUGCCCCAACUGGCGAACCCGAUCGUCAACGUGAGUGGAUCAAGCGGUUGCCGACUCGCCAGUGAAAUGUAGACUUGCACAAGAGGGAACACAAUC